UGUUUCUUAGAGAAACAGCUGUUCAUCGUUCUGAGCCGCUUCCUGGUGUCUAAAAACU
rnacentral:sRNA from 1 species